rnacentral:lncRNA from 1 species
UUUCACUUACAGAUCCUUCACGUCACGUCACCCUGGGUAUUCCCUCCACCCCCAAAACAUUCCUCGAGACACAAAUUCAAACUUUCUUAGAGCAGUUUUGUCAAACUUUUGUUUUUCAUUCUUCAUAGAGACAGAAAGUUAAAACCACAAAGGGAAGCCAAAAAAACACCUGCAGGAAGCAGCAGAGUGGAGGCGGGGAAGUUACUGUGGCCGGGGAAUGGAUUCUAUGCCGCUGGAGGGCUCCACAGGAGUGAGGUGAAUUACUCCAGAGCACACUUAUGAAUCCCACAGAUUGGAUGUUUGGUGCAAAAUCUGAAGGUGCGAAUUGAAUUAUUCCUAA